rnacentral:misc_RNA from 1 species
GAUGAAGAACGCAGUGAAAUGCGAUACUUGGUGUGAAUUGCAGAAUCCCGUGAACCAUCGAGUCUUUGAACGCAAGUUGCGCCUCAAGCCAUUAGGUUGAGGGGACGUCUGCCUGGGCGUCACAUAUCGUUGCCUGAUGCCAGUUUCCUCGUGAUGGGUGACUGUGCAGGGCGAAUGAUGGCUUCCCGUGAGCAUUGUUGCCUCAUGGUUGGUUGAAAAUUGAGUCCUUGGUAGGGAGCGCCGUGAUAGAUGGUGGUUGAGUGACGAACGAGACCCAAUCAUGUGAGACCCCUACCGAAUUUGGCCUUCAUGACCCACAUGCGUCUUUGGAACGCUCAUGACGAGACCUCAGGUCAGGCGGGGCUACCCGCUGAGUUUAAGCAUAUCAAUAAGCGGAGGA